CCAGCGCCCGCCCCCAGCCCAGCCACUCCCCGGCGCCUCGGGGCUCGGCACGUCCUCCAGGAUCGGCUCCCAGGGGUCCGGGCUGAGCAGAGCUUGCCCUGAGCCAGCUGAGUCUUGCAGCCCUACCUGCCGGGCUAGGGUAGGAGAAAGAAACAGGAUAGCAGUGCCUGGGGGAGACGGGGAGCCUCUGGAGAGCCACAGUGCAGCCCUUAGGCCAACCUCAGACUGCUCAGGUCUGUGCUGCGGUAACAGGCACCUGUGCCAAGCUCACCCACAGCACAGCCAGCAGAACCGGAAAGGGCUCCUCUGAUCAUCUGUCUGCUCCUGCAAAAACGCCAUGGAGGUGGUGCUGGUCUUUCUAUGCAGCCUUCUGGCCUCUGCGGUCCUGGCCAGUGCAACUGAGCAGGAGAAAGAAACGGACCCUUUUCAUUAUGACUAUCAGACCCUGAGGAUCGGGGGCCUGGUGUUCGCCGUGGUCCUCUUCUCGGUGGGGGUCCUCCUUAUCCUGAGUCGGAGGUGCAAGUGCAGUUUCAGUCAGAAGCCCCGGUCACACCCCAUAAAGGUCACACCCACACGACCUGAGCCCCCGUGUGGCCGUAGGCCACCCCUUCCCAGUACUCGGUUCUCUCGGGGGCUGACAUUGAAGGAUGCUGUGAGUUCCUGCUGACGGGCCCCUUCAGCCCCGCUCCUCCCUCUGCUCCUGUGCCCAUGGUAGAGCGUGCUCCAGCCCCUCAGGGCUCCAGGGGAUGAGGAGGCCCAGGUGGAGAACCUCAUCACUGCAAAUG